rnacentral:rRNA from 1 species
UAGAGUUUGAUCCUGGCUCAGAUUGAACGCUGGCGGCAUGCUUUACACAUGCAAGUCGAACGGUAACAGGGUGCUUGCACCGCUGACGAGUGGCGAACGGGUGAGUAAUGCGUCGGAACGUGCCGAGUAGUGGGGGAUAACGCAGCGAAAGUUGUGCUAAUACCGCAUACGUACUGAGGUAGAAAGUGGGGGACCUUCGGGCCUCACGCUAUUCGAGCGGCCGACGUCUGAUUAGCUAGUAGGUGAGGUAAAGGCUCACCUAGGCGACGAUCAGUAGCGGGUCUGAGAGGAUGAUCCGCCACACUGGGACUGAGACACGGCCCAGACUCCUACGGGAGGCAGCAGUGGGGAAUUUUGGACAAUGGGCGAAAGCCUGAUCCAGCCAUGCCGCGUGUCUGAAGAAGGCCUUCGGGUUGUAAAGGACUUUUGUCAGGGAGGAAAUCCCUAGUGCUAAUAACACUGGGGGAUGACAGCACCUGAAGAAUAAGCACCGGCUAACUACGUGCCAGCAGCCGCGGUAAUACGUAGGGUGCGAGCGUUAAUCGGAAUUACUGGGCGUAAAGCGUGCGCAGGCGGUUUGAUAAGCCAGAUGUGAAAUCCCCGAGCUCAACUUGGGAACUGCGUUUGGAACUGUCAGACUAGAGUGCGUCAGAGGGGGGGUGGAAUUCCGCGUGUAGCAGUGAAAUGCGUAGAGAUGCGGAGGAACACCGAUGGCGAAAGCAGCCCCCUGGAUGACACUGACGCUCAUGCACGAAAGCGUGGGGAGCAAACAGGAUUAGAUACCCUGUAGUCCACGCCCUAAACGAUGUCAAUUAGCUGUUGGGGGUUAGAAUCCCUGUAGCGUAGCUAACGCGUGAAAUUGACCGCCUGGGGGAGUACGGCCGCAAGGUUAAAACU